AUAUAUGGGUAAACCUAUCGCGAGGUAGGGACACAAAGCUAUAGGGUCUUAAGGUUUAAGACAGCCAGUUGCCAU
rnacentral:ncRNA from 1 species